AGGGCGUACAGUGGAUGCCUUGGCACCGAAAGACGAUGAAGGACGCGACUACCUGCGAUAAUCCUCGGCGAGCUGGAAGUAAGCUUUGACCCGAGGGUCUCCGAAUGGGGAAACCCGAUGCGCGUUAUGGCGCACCACCUGACCGGCCAAUACAUAACCGGCAGGAGACAACCCUGGGAAUUGAAACAUCUAAGUACCAGGAGGAAAAGAAAGAGAAUUCGAUUCCGUCAGUAGCGGCGAGCGAAAGCGGAAGAGCCUAAACCACCUUGAGUGGGGUUCGGGAUCACAUCAGUAUAAGUAGACACAAGGAGAAUUACCUGGAAUGGUAAGCCAAAGAGGGUGAAAGCCCCGUACCUGUAAAAAUGCUACUUGUCGUGAUUUCCAGAGUACGGCGGGACACGUGAAAUCCUGUCGGAAUGUGCGGAGACCACUCCGUAAGGCUAAAUACUCUUCGGUGACCGAUAGUGAACCAGUACCGUGAGGGAAAGGUGAAAAGAACCCCGGGAGGGGAGUGAAAAGAAUCUGAAACCGUAUGCCUACAAAAAGUCAGAGGGCGUUAAAGCCUGAUGACGUGCCUAUUGAAGAAUGAGCCGGCGAGUUAUGAACACAUGCGAGGUUAAGGAGAAGAUCCGGAGCCGAAGCGAAAGCGAGUCUUAACAGGGCGACAGUAUGUGUUUGUAGACCCGAAACCCGACGAUCUAGCCAUGAUCAGGAUGAAGUAAGGGUAAAACCUUAUGGAGGUCCGAACCGACGUUCGUUGAAACGCCCGCGGAUGAAUUGUGGCUCGUGGUGAAAUUCCAAUCGAGUCGGGUAAUAGCUGGUUCUCCCCGAAAUAGCUUUAGGGCUAGCCUUGGGACAUUGUUUAGUGGGGGUAAAGCACUGAAUAUGAGCGAGCCGCGCCAAGCGGUAUCAAUCAUAAUCAAACUCUGAAUCCCAUUAGAUGUACCCCAGGAGUCAGACUACGGGAGAUAAGUUCCGUGGUCAAGAGGGCAACAGCCCAGACCGCCGAUUAAGGUCCCUAAAUUCACGCUAAGUGUCAAAGGAUGUAGAGAUACUCAAACAGCUAGGAUGUUGGCUCAGAGGCAGCCAUCAUUUAAAGAAUGCGUAACAGCUCACUAGUCAAGUGUCUCCGCGCCGAAAAUUUACCGGGGCUAAGCGUGAUACCGAAAUCGCGGAUGAAUCCUAAAAAUUCGUGGUAGGGGAGCGUUCUGUUUGCAGUGAAGCCAUAUCGUGAGGAGUGGUGGAGCGUACAGAAGCGAGAAUGCCGGCGUAAGUAACGAUAAAGGGUGAGAAUCCCUUUCACCAAUUGACUAAGGUUUCCUGGGCAAGGUUCGUCCUCCCAGGGUUAGUCGGGACCUAAGGCGAGGCCGACAGGCGUAGUCGAUGGACAGCAGGUUGAUAUUCCUGCACCCGAGCACGCAGUGAUGCAAUGACGAAAACGGCUAUGCUCACCUCCGAUCGGAAGUGGAGGGCAGAGCGUAGGAGUCGAUUCCUUGUUAAGUACGGGAAUCAUUAAGACAAAGACGUGCGGUAUGAAAGUCGCGAGACGAGUAAGAAACAGCAGACGCCGAUUUCCAAGAAAAGUUGCUAACGUUAAACGUGUUCGGCCCGUACCGAGAACGGACACACGUGGUCAAGGAGAAUAUCCUGAGGUGAGCGAGAUAACUGUUGUUAAGGAACUCUGCAAAAUAACUUCGUAAGUUAGCAAGAAGAAGUGCUCCAGCGAUGGAGCCGCAGCGAAUCGGCCCAAGUAACUGUUUACCAAAAACACAGCUCUAUGCUAAGUCGCAAGACGAUGUAUAUGGGGUGACGCCUGCCCGGUGCCGGAAGGUUAAAAGGAGAGGUUAGGAGCAAUCCGAAGCUUUGAAUUGAAGCCCCGGUGAACGGCGGCCGUAACUAUAACGGUCCUAAGGUAGCGAAAUUCCUUGUCAGGUAAGUUCUGACGUGCACGAAUGGUGUAAUAAUUUGGGCGCUGUCUCGACAGCAGACUCGGUGAAAUCUUAAUACCGGUGAAGAUGCCGGUUACCCGCGACUAGACGGAAAGACCCCAUGGAGCUUUACUAUAACUUAAUAUUGAGUAAAUGCGAAUCUUGUACAGUAUAGGUGGGAGACUUUGAAGUCGGGGCGUCAGCUUCGAUGGAGUCGCCGUUGGGAUACCACUCUGGAUUUGCAUUUAUUCUAACUCCUACCCUGGAUGGGCGGGAGGACAGUGUUAGGCGGGUAGUUUGGCUGGGGCGGCCGCCUC
rnacentral:rRNA from 1 species